GUGCUUACGUCGUGGCACGGUCCUGUGGUCGGCGCUGAAACGUCAAUGAUCGGAAUACGUCAAACUUCAUAAAAGUCAAUAGUCUCAUUUUGGAAAAAGAAUCACAAAUUAAGCUAAUAGUGGAAUGAAAUUAGUAAGUAUAAAAUUAGUUAGAAUUCAGGUUUUCUAAUUCCUUUGCGAAAGAUUUAAAUAAUUCAAACUUUUCAAUGCUUGUUUUAUAUUAUCAUGCCUUUGAAUUCUCGAAUCUUUGCGUCAUUUCGUUCUUUUAGUUGGUUACAAUUCUAAUUUGGCAGUUGGACGACGACCAAUGUCCCGAGCGUUACGAAAGAUCUGUUGUAAGCGUCGAUGUACUAACUUAGAAAUUACGUGAUAUACCCGGGAUUUGCUAGCAUGCGAUUUGUUUGUUUUUAUAAAUAACACCGCGUACUUUAUUCGCGUGUCGCUCCGACUUAGAUUCUUAGAUCCUUGGACUUUGCAAUUUUCAGAUCUUUCAAUUUUUCAUCUUUAUUAACAAAAUCAUCCUUUAAAAUCAAAAAUAAAAAAUCAAAAAUAUGUCAAACCGACGAAAAACACGUGGAUAUAUGUAGAUGGAUAUAGUAGUAUGCGUAGCUGCUUUAUCAUUAAAAUUUAAAGG